rnacentral:tRNA from 2 species
GCAGGGGUAGCCAAGUGGCCAACGGCGUCGGACUCAAGAUCCGAUCUCACAGGAGUACGCGGGUUCAAAUCCCUCCCCCUGCA